ACGGAAUUAAAGAAGCACACAAAACAGAAAGUGGCUGUUUGCUCAGAUGUUUGUGUGUCAGACUAUAUAUUGAACAUGAGCACCAUGAACAACCCUGGUAAAGUCUGGAAUACUAGGAAAUUGUUGGCUGAUGGAAUUCUCUAUCAAAGACGAAGGAUGCUAAAUAUUCCAGGUAGAUUUCUGUUUCCAAACAAAUGCAUUUACAUUCACUACAGGUGUAUUAUUUGGGUUGGUAACACUCAUAAAUUUGUCCGAAUUUUUGGGAUAUAUAUAAAUAUACAUCAGUUACCUUCUUCAGCUAAUAUAUGUGAGUGAGUGAGUGAGUAUGUGACUAUUUAUCAUCUAUUGCUAUCAUGGAUAUAAAAUACUUUGAUAGAUUAUUAUUAUUUUUAAAUUGAAACAUUCAAUUUAGUGAGAUUUAGUAGUUUGUAUCAAUAAACUAAUUGGUGAAGCCAAUGUAUUUAUCUUGUUUUAUUACAGAGAUUUGCAAAUUCCCGAUUAUGAAUUGAAAAAUCUUUGCCUAAUUGAGUUGGAGAAGCUUUUGAUGCAUGCGUAACGGAAAAUGUCUGGAUGAUUUUAAAGCAUUGCCCAAACCAAGAUUGGAAUCAGUUUUUGCCCAACCAAAUAAGUUUGUAGCUGAUGAGUUGAACUAUAAUACAAAUCAGCAAGCUCACAAUGCAC
rnacentral:lncRNA from 1 species